rnacentral:rRNA from 1 species
AGUGAACGCUGGCGGUAUGCCUAACACAUGCAAGUCGAACGGCAGCACAGUAAGUGCUUGCUCUUACGGGUGGCCAGUGGCGUACGGAUGGGGUAUAUAUCCGAACCUACUUUUUCGUGGGGGUUAAGGUAGCGAUACCUACUCCAACACCGCAUUCGAUCUUCCAUUACAUUCACUGGAUAGUUGCACUUUGCUCGCUUGCAUAUGCCGAUGUCGUAUUUGUUAGUUGUCGGGGUAAAGCCCCACCAAGGCGACGAUCUGUAGCUGGUCUGAGAGGAGGAACAGCCACACGGGAACUGAGCCACGGUCAAGACUCCUACGGGAGGAAGCAGAGGGGAAUAUUGGACAAGGGGCGCAAGCCUGAUCCAGCCAUACCGCGUGGGUGAAGAAGGCCUUCGGGUUGUAAAGCCCGUUGGUUGGGAAAGAAAAGCAGCAGGUUAAUACCCCGAUGUUCUGACGGUACCCAAAGAAUAAGCACCGGCUAACUUCGUG